rnacentral:rRNA from 1 species
UACGUAGGGUGCGAGCGUUUAAUCGGAAUUACUGGGCGUAAAGUGUGCGCAGGUGGCCGCGCAAGUCGAGUGUGAAAUCCCCGGGCUCAACCUGGGAACUGCAUUUGUGACUGCAUCGCUGGAGUGCGGCAGAGGGGGAUGGAAUUCCGCGUGUAGCAGUGAAAUGCGUAGAUAUGCGGAGGAACACCGAUGGCGAAGGCAAUCCCCUGGGCCUGCACUGACGCUCAUGCACGAAAGCGUGGGGAGCAAACAGG